GGCGAACGGGUGAGUAACACGUGAGUAACCUGCCCCUGACUUUGGGAUAAGCCUGGGAAACCGGGUCUAAUACCGGAUAUGACCACGCUCCGCAUGGUGUGUGGUGGAAAGUUUUUUCGGUCAGGGUUGGGCUCGCGGCCUAUCAGCUUGUUGGUGGGGUGAUGGCCUACCAAGGCGACGACGGGUAGCCGGCCUGAGAGGGCGACCGGCCACACUGGGACUGAGACACGGCCCAGACUCCUACGGGAGGCAGCAGUGGGGAAUAUUGCGCAAUGGGCGGAAGCCUGACGCAGCGACGCCGCGUGGGGGAUGACGGCCUUCGGGUUGUAAACCUCUUUCAGCAGGGACGAAGUUGACGUGUACCUGUAGAAGAAGCGCCGGCUAACUACGUGCCAGCAGCCGCGG
rnacentral:rRNA from 1 species